rnacentral:rRNA from 1 species
AGGAUAAACGCUGGCGGCGUGCCUAACACAUGCAAGUCGAACGCGCUUUCGGGCUUCGGUGCGAGAGCGAGUGGCGGACGGGUGAGUAACACAUGGGUACCUACCUUGGAGUGAGGGAUACCGGCGAGAAAUCGCCGACAAUACCGCAUAGGCUUCUUCACAAGGGAAGCAAAGUGACGCGAGUCACGCUUUGAGAUGGGCCUGUGGCCGAUUAGCUAGUUGGGGGGGUAACGGCUUCCCAAGGCGACGAUCGGUAGCUGGUCUGAGAGGACGAUCAGCCACACUGGGAUUGAGAACGGCCCAGACUCCUACGGGGGGCAGCAGUGAGGAAUUUUCCGCAAUGGAGGCAACUCUGACGGAGCAACGCCGCGUGCAGGAGGAAGGUUUCGGAUCGUAAACUGCUUUUCUCGGGGACGAGCAAGGACGGUACCCGAGGAAGAAGCCCCGGCUAACUACGUGCCAGCAGCCGC